CCACCGCACAAUUAACACGUGUAUAUCUAAACAAAAAAUCCAAAUUAUUUAAAAUAAACCUAGUGUGCGUGUCAAAGCCAACUAUAAUUGUUACUCCUUUGAAUUUACAUCAUCCUACCUCUAUAAUUACAAUAAAACAAAAGUUAUAACCUUAAAGCCACAACACAAACACUUAUCAACAUGACUGAAGUUAAAGAAGAGCUCAACAUGCUGCAGUUUGUAACACAAUAUGAUAUUAAACAAUCUACGUCUCUACUGGAAUCAAUCCGAUUCCUCAUGAGUGAAGGAAAAUCGUCAAAAGCAGUAAUUACAUUCAUCAACAAGCAAGUAUCCAAAGGCAUUUCUAAGGAGCAAGCAUUUGAAAUGCUGAUUAAACUCAUUCCUGAUUGUAAUCAAACUGUUCUUGAUGAGAAUGCUAAAACUUGGGUUACUUAUGCAGUGAGUAAACAUAAAGAGGAAAUGAUUGCGGCGUGCAGAUACCAGAUUUUAGUUGAAUUAUAUCACCGUUGCCAUAGAAAUCAAGAGUUUUACAAGUCUAUUGUUACAAAUUUACUUUCCAAAAUUGUUGAUACAUGCAUCUGGGCGCAUCCUAAGUCUGCAGAAGCCCAACAUGCUUUGAAUUGUUUAUAUUUCA